rnacentral:rRNA from 1 species
GCGCGAGUCAUUGGGUUGACUCUAAACCUAAAGGCGCAAUGAAAGUGAAGGUCCUGCCUUGUGCAGACCGAGGGAAGAUGGUUUCGCGCUCGCGCGCGUUGCCCGCAUUCCCGGGGCGUCUCGUUCUCACUGCGAGAGGAGGCGCACCCAGAGCGUACACGUUGGGACCCGAAAGAUGGUGAACUAUGCCUGGCCAGGACGAARUCAGGGGAAACCCUGAUGGAGGUCCGUAGCGAUUCUGACGUGCAAAUCGAUCGUCGGAGCUGGGUAUAGGGGCGAAAGACUAAUCGAACCAUCUAGUAGCUGGUUCCCUCCGAAGUUUCCCUCAGGAUAGCUGGUGCUCGGACGAGUCUCAUCCGGUAAAGCGAAUGAUUAGAGGCCUUGGGGCCGAAACGACCUCAACCUAUUCUCAAACUUUAAAUGGGUAAGAUAUUUGGCUUGCUUAAAUGAAGCUAAACUAUGUUGGAUCAGAGUGCCAAGUGGGCCACUUUUGGUAAGCAGAACUGGCGCUGUGGGAUGAACCAAACGCAGAGUUAAGGCGCCCGAAUAGACGCUCAUGGGAAACCAUGAAAGGCGUUGGUUGCUUAAGACAGCAGGACGGUGGCCAUGGAAGUCGGAAUCCGCUAAGGAGUGUGUAACAACUCACCUGCCGAAGCAACUAGCCCUGAAAAUGGAUGGCGCUGAAGCGUCUUGCCUAUACUCUGCCGUCAGAAUGGCAAUGAGGAAUUUGAUUAUUUCGUGAGGCCCUGACGAGUAGGAGGGUCGCGGCGGUGAGCGCAGAAGGGUCUAGGCGUGAGCCUGCCUGGAGCCGCCGUCGGUGCAGAUCUUGGUGGUAGUAGCAAAUACUCCAGCGAGGCCCUGGAGGACUGACGUGGAGAAGGGUUUCGUGUGAACAGCCGUUGCACACGAGUCAGUCGAUCCUAAGCCCUAGGAGAAAUCCGAUGUUGAUGGUGUCCGAAAAAUAUCACUGUGAGAAUGGACAACUAGGGGCGAAAGGGAAUCCGGUUCCUAUUCCGGAACCCGGCAGCGGAACCGUAAUAAGUCGGGCCCCUCGAAAGAGAAGCUCGUCGGGGUAACCCAAAAAGACCCGGAGACGCCGUCGGGAGAUCGGGGAAGAGUUUUCUUUUCUGCAUGAGCGUUCGAGUUCCCUGGAAUCCUCUAGCAGGGAGAUAGGGUUUGGAACGCGAAGAGCACCGCAGUUGCGGCGGUGUCCCGAUCUUCCCCUCGGACCUUG